GGGAAACUACUCAAAUGUUGGAAAACUUCCCUACCAGUUCUCUAGUAGACCCAAGUCUGUUUGGUUGCCUGGAGGAGGACGUCUGACUAGGUCUCCUACAUUCAGGCUAAUUUGUCACCUGUCUCCUGGGAGUGCAAUCCAGCAGCAGUGCUGCCCACAGCUCCUCCUACUCCUGUUUACUACCAGACCUCUACCGAGGAUGUGGAGAAACACAGGUGGGCUGGCAUGGAGAAACCUACUGCCUGGUUGGUGACUACAGGGCCUAUGGGGAUGCUGCCAUCCCCACCCCAACAAAGCCCAGAGAAGAGAAGCCAGCAUCCAGGUGGCCCUAUAGGAAUCCUUCCAUUGUUAUCCCAGCAAAGGCUCAAAGCUGAGAAGCCAACAGCCAGGCAUAUUACCAUGCUGUUAUGAAGACACACACAUGGGCCUCACACCUCCUAGUCAGAGCUACUGAGAACUGCGGCAAAGGUGGUGUCAUACAUCUGGGAAGGAAAAACCUGGAGAGAAAUAAAGUGCUACUGAAACUGGAAAUCUGUGGAAAAAGCAUCCAAGGAAUUUUUCUUGCAGUGCCGCCCACAGCUCCUCCUACUCCUGUUUACUACCACAUCCUCUACUGAGGAUGUAGAGAAAUCCAGGUGGGCUGGCAUGGAAAGACCGACUGCCUGGUUGGCUGCUACUGAGUCUAUGGAAAUGUUUCCAUCACCACCCUAGCAAAGGCCACAGAAGAGAAGCCAAAAUCCAUGUGGGCUGCCAAGAGACCUCCACCUAUGGGAGAAUAUAACCAUCAAGAAGACUGACAUAAUCCUAAAAUUCACCAUGUUAACAAUGGUAACAAGACCCCAUGACAGUGUUAGCUGAGCCACCCUGUUGAGAGGAUGGACACUGAGUGGACUAGGACAGCUAAUUUCUCUUCUCCAGUGACCUCCACUGCCAGUCCCUGGAGAUACAACCUGGCCCAUUCUGCCUCAGCUUUUCUCAGCAAGGAUCCCUCUUCAGUGCCAACUAGCUAUGGGACAGGAGCCUCAGAAACUGGGGUUGAAAGUAAGCUGUAAAUAUCAGGGCUUAAGCUGGUUAGAAGUAGGCCUGAUGCUCCUCUGCUCAGUCCUCUACAUUCGUUUCUUGUUCAGAAGAAACACCUGUCUGCACUCUGCAAGCCAAGCAGGAGUGAAGUGCACAGUAACCUAGCUGGAGCCCUAUCUCUACAGAUGGACUCCUGACAGCAUAGCUAGCAACCAUCAGCGCAAAACGAGAGUGUCUUGGGGUCUUAAAAUUGGAAGAAGCAAGCAGGAGCUACACAGGGAGCCUUCUGCCUGGGAUCUCAGGAGGCAGAACAAAGAGCACCAGGGACAUCUGCUACCUGAGCAGGAAUGGCAUGGACAAAGUCCAGCAACAACCCCACUCAGGCUUCUAUGCUCCUUUGUUUCCAGCCAUUUGUGGCCUCUGCAUGGUUCCUAUUGCUCAAAAAAGUUUUUCUGUAAUAGCAUUUGACUAGAAAUCCAGCUUUUCCAAGGCCAAUGCUAAAACUUGCCAUUCUCCUGAAGUACUUUCCUACACACAGGACCUGCUUUUCCAUAGUCUCUGCCUACAAGGGAUCCUUAGCUGUAGUUUUUAACAGUGUGGCACCUGAAAUAAGGCUGAGGCAAAUUUGGACUAGACCCAGCCCUGUAUCUUAAGACGUGGAGAACCUUGGGUUGGGGGUGUAGCUCAGUGGUAGAUCAUGUGCUUAGUAUGUGCCAGGUCCUGGGUAUAGUACACAGCACUAUUAAACAUAAAACUAAAACAAUCACCUAUUUCAUGUUUCUAUGAAUGUAUGUAUGUGUGUGUGUGUGUGUGUCUGUGUCUCUGGGUGAGUGUCUGUGUGUACAUACAUGCAUGUGUUUUGGAAAAGAAGAGCAAG
rnacentral:lncRNA from 1 species